rnacentral:rRNA from 1 species
CGGAGGGUGCAAGCGUUAUCCGGAUUUAUUGGGUUUAAAGGGUCCGUAGGCGGACCCGUAAGUCAGUGGUGAAAUCUCAUAACUUAACUAUGAAACUGCCAUUGAUACUGCGGGUCUUGAGUAAAUUUGAAGUGGCUGGAAUAAGUAGUGUAGCGGUGAAAUGCAUAGAUAUUACUUAGAACACCAAUUGAGAAGGCAGGUCACUAAGAUUUAACUGACGCUGAUGGACGAAAGCGUGGGUAGCGAACAGGAUU